GCCCGGGUAGCUCAGCGGGAGAGCACUGCUUUCACACAGCAGGGGCCCCUGGUUCGAUCCCAGGUCCGGGCU
rnacentral:tRNA from 2 species